AGUCUGCUUUUAGAAAACUGGGAGUAUAAAUUAGAUUUUUUUUCAUGAAAUUUUUUUCAAAUAUAAUAAUCUGAAAAAUGCAAGUAGAAAUUUGGACAAAAUAUGCAUUUAAAUGUCUUACGUCUUUAAAGUUGUAGAACUUCCGCGAUACACUAAUAAUCGAGGAUUAUGCUGUGGCCAGUGGGGGAUUUUGUCAUAUCCAUAUAGGCGCGUGUUUUGUUAUCACAACCAGUAAACGAGGUCAUUCUGUUGCGUACUUUGGUCAAAGAAAGAGAAAGAUGGAGUCCCCAAGAAAUGAAAAUAAGCUGAAUGGAAUUUCGUUUUCAAGGAAGAAGAGUCCGAAGCUUACUUAUGCCGGAGAGUUCUGAUGAAUCACCAAAGAAAAGAAAAACUCAAAGUUCUAAUAGUGGCCUGGGUGCAGUGUAUUCGAAUUAUCAACAGUUCUCCUCAAAUAAAGAAAAUAAAAGAAAAAGAUUUUACUUUCUAUGAGUACCCACAGCAUCUUCAAGCAGAACAAUGGAUAUUGAUCAGACCAGACAGUCUGGAGAAUUUACCAUGGAUAGAAG